rnacentral:rRNA from 1 species
AACGCUAGCUACAGGCUUAACACAUGCAAGUCGAGGGGCAGCGCAGUGUAGCAAUACACGGGCGGCGACCGGCGCACGGGUGCGUAACGCGUAUCCAACCUUCCCGUUACUCUUGGAUAGCCUUCCGAAAGGGAGAUUAAUACAGGAUGGUGUUCAAAUUCCGCAUGUUAUUUGAACUAAAGGUUUAUCGGUAACGGAUGGGGAUGCGUGACAUUAGGUAGAUGGCGGGGUAACGGCCCACCAUGCCCACGAUGUCUAGGGGUUCUGAGAGGAAGGUCCCCCACACUGGAACUGAGACACGGUCCAGACUCCUACGGGAGGCAGCAGUGAGGAAUAUUGGUCAAUGGUCGGAAGACUGAACCAGCCAAGUAGCGUGAAGGAUGAAGGUUCUAUGGAUUGUAAACUUCUUUUAUACGGGAAUAAAGCCCUCUACGUGUAGAGGUUUGUAUGUACCGUAUGAAUAAGCAUCGGCUAACUCCGUGCCAGCAGCCGCGGUAAUACGGAGGAUGCGAGCGUUAUCCGGAUUUAUUGGGUUUAAAGGGAGCGUAGACGGGAUGUUAAGUCAGUUGUGAAAGGCUGCGGCUCAGCCGCAGCACUGCAGUUGAUACUGGCGUCCUUGAGUGCGGUUGAGGUGUGUGGAAUUCGUGGUGUAGCGGUGAAAUGCUUAGAUAUCACGAAGAACUCCGAUUG